rnacentral:rRNA from 1 species
GCGUGGAGACAGGUGGUGCAUGGCUGUCGUCAGCUCGUGUCGUGAGAUGUUGGGUUAAGUCCCGCAACGAGCGCAACCCUCACCCCUAGUUGCCACCGGGUAAAGCCGAGCACUCGAGGGGAACUGCCAGCGCCAAGCUGGAGGAAGGCGGGGAUGACGUCAAGUCAUCAUGCCCCUUACGCCCUGGGCUACACACGUGCUACAAUGGCCGGUACAAAGGGACGCGAGACUGCAAAGUGGAGCUAAUCCCAAAAAACCGGUCUAAGUUCAGAUUGCAGUCUGCAACUCGACUGCAUGAAGGAGGAAUCGCUAGUAAUCGCGCAUCAGCACGGCGCGGUGAAUACGUUCCCGGGCCUUGUACACACCGCCCGUCACACCACGAAAGCUGUCUGUACUCGAAGUCGCUGAG